rnacentral:rRNA from 10 species
CUCUACAGCCAUGUGACCCUGAAUGCACCCCAAUCUCAUGUGAUUUGGAAGCUAAACAGGGUCAGGCCUGGUUAAUACUUGGGUGGGAGA